rnacentral:rRNA from 1 species
UACGUAGGGUGCGAGCGUUAAUCGGAAUUACUGGGCGUAAAGGGCGCGUAGGCGGCGUUUCAAGUGACGGGUGAAAUCCCUCGGCUUAACCGAGGAACUGCCUGUCAGACUGGAAGGCUUGAGACCGGGAGAGGUGAGUGGAAUUCCCAGUGUAGCGGUGAAAUGCGUAGAUAUUGGGAGGAACACCAGUGGCGAAGGCGGCUCACUGGACCGGUACCGACGCUGAGGCGCGAAAGCGUGGGGAGCAAACAGG